ensembl:lincRNA 4933428C19Rik RIKEN cDNA 4933428C19 gene
ACUCUUCUGAAUUCUGACUCAGAAAGGCUGAAUGAAGUUAGAAUUUAAAAUCAAAAGGUAGAGAGAUGGAGCAAUUACAGUCUGUGAACAAACUCUUCAAUGGAGGGUGAAGAGCGGGAGAAUGUGCAGUGACAUUGUGAGCUUCAAAUCAGCUCUCCAGGGCCCCAGCACAGAAUGUCAGGGAGGGGACUCUGAACAGGUCUAUACCACCUUCGCUGAAACUACAGAUCCUUAUGAAGUCUAGCAAAGGAGACGACAGAAGAGUGACCACAGGGAGUUCUCAAUUCCUCACAUGUUUCAGCUUCUAUAAAAUGUCAUAUAUGGGGAUGAAGAGAUGGCUCAGCUGUUGAGAGUACAAACUGCUCUUGCAGGGGACCUGGGAUGAGUUCCUGGCUCACAAUCUUUACCCUCUGCUACAUCAGUUCCAGAGGAUCCAACACCUUGUCAGGUAUCUGAGGUUUUGCAAGGGCUGACCACUCUGCACUGGACAGCCAAUAAACCUCUUUCUAGCAAAUGGAAACCAUCACAGAAAAACACAACUGGACCCAAUGCAGAGAUGCACAGAUAGUGGAGAGCCCAACCCCAGCUCAGCACAGUGACCAACCAAGCCAAAUAUCUUCUUGAACUGGUACAUGAUGAAUGAAGAAUGUACGCUGAGAGCUCGUUGGAAGGAGAAAUGAAGAGAGAGGCCAGUUUUAGGCCAGCGUUUUCUGGAGCUGAGGAGGUCGAGUGCUGUUCGUCCUUUGGAUACCAAUUUAUCAUCAGCUGCAUGGCUUGAAUGUGUUUGUUCCCAUUAUAUAAACUAUCUCUUUACUGUG